rnacentral:rRNA from 1 species
UCCUCGAAAUAGCUUUAGGGCUAGCCUUGAGGGAAGAUAUGUGGGGGUAGAGCACUGAAUGAGGUAGGGGCCUAACCAGGUUACUGAACUCUAUCAAACUGCGAAUACCAUGUAUUAAUACUCAGGAGUCAGACUACGGGAGCUAAGUUCCGUGGUCAAAAGGGAAAGAGCCCAGACCGACAAUUAAGGUCCCAAAGAUAUAGUUAAGUGGGAAACGAUGUGAAUUUGCGUAAACAACCAGGAUGUUGGCUCAGAAGCAGCCAUUCAUUCAAAGAGUGCGUAACAGCUCACUGGUCGAGUGAAUUUGCGCGGAAAAUUACCGGGGCUAAACUAUACACCGAAAUUACGGAUUUGUAAAUGAAAAUUUAUAAGUGGUAGAGGAGCAUUCUGUGGUAGGGCGAAGCUAAAGCGAGAGCAUUAGUGGACGAAGCAGAAGAGAGAAUGCUGGAAUAAGUAGCGAGAGCGAGGUGAGAAUCCUUGCCGUCGAAAGUCUAAGGUUUCCUGGGGAAGGUUCGUCCGCCCAGGGUAAGUCGGGACCUAAGGAGAGGCCGAAAGGCGUAUCUGAUGGAUAGCAGGUGGAAAUUCCUGCACUAUAGCCAUACUUAAAAGAUGCAAGGGACGCAGGAGAGGAAGAUAACCGAGGAAGAGGAAAAACUCGGAUCGAAAGAUGGAGUGAAAAUAGAAGUAACGAAGUAUCAAGAAUCACACUGACGAGAAAAGCUUGUAGAGAUUGUAUGGAAAUACCCGUACCGCAAACCGACACAGGUAGAUGAGGAGAGGAUCCUAAGACGAACGGGAGAAGCAUUGUUAAGGAACUCGGCAAAAUAACCCCGUAACUUCGGGAGAAGGGGAGCCUAUGUAAAAGUAGGCCGCAGUGAAAAGGCCCAAGCAACUGUUUAACAAAAACACAGGUUUCUGCUAAAUCGAAAGAUGAAGUAUAGGAGCUGACGCCUGCCCAGUGCUGGAAGGUUAAGGGGAAAUGUUAGGAGCAAUCCGAAGCAUAGAACUGAAGCCCCAGUGAACGGCGGCCGUAACUAUAACGGUCCUAAGGUAGCGAAAUUCCUUGUCAGGUAAGUUCUGACCCGCACGAAAGGCGUAAUGAUUUGGGCACUGUCUCGACAAUGUACCCGGCGAAAUUGUAGUACUAGUGAAGAUGCUAGUUACCUGCGACAAGACAGAAAGACCCCAUGGAGCUUUACUGCAGUUUGAUACUGGGUUUUGAUAAACUAUGUACAGGAUAGGUGGGAGACUAAGAAAGCAAGGCGUCAGCUUUGCUGGAGUCACCGUUGGGAUACCACUCUUAGUUUGUUGAAAUUCUAACUAGUGGUCAUGACCUGGCCAGAGGACAAUGUCAGACGGGCAGUUUGACUGGGGCGGUCGCCUCCAAAAGAGUAACGGAGGCGCCCAAAGGUUUCCUCAGCGCGGACAGAAAUCGCGCGAAAGAGUGUAAAGGCAGAAGGAAGCUUAACUGGAAGACAGACAUGUCGAGCAGAUACGAAAGUAGGGCUUAGUGAUCCGGUGGAAUUGAAUGGAAAAGCCAUCGCUCAACGGACAAAAGUUACCCUGGGGAUAACAGGCUUAUCUCCCCCAAGAGUUCACAUCGACGGGGAGGUUUGGCACCUCGAUGUCGGCUCAUCGCAUCCUGGAGCUGAAGUCGGUUCCAAGGGUUGGGCUGUUCGCCCAUUAAAGCGGUACGCGAGCUGGGUUCAGAACGUCGUGAGACAGUUCGGUCCCUAUC